GUGUCAGCAGCCGCGGUAAUACGAAGGGGGCUAGCGUUGUUCGGAUUUACUGGGCGUAAAGCGCGCGCAGGCGGCUUUGCAAGUCAGGGGUGAAAUCCCAGAGCUCAACUCUGGAAUUGCCUUUGAGACUGCUUGGCUUCGAGUACGGGAGAGGUGAGUGGAAUUCCCAGUGUAGAGGUGAAAUUCGUAGAUAUUGGGAAGAACACCGGUGGCGAAGGCGGCUCACUGGCCCGUUACUGACGCUCAGGCGCGACAGCGUGGGGAUCAAACAGGAUUAGAUACCCUGGUAGUCCACGCCGUAAACGAUGGAUGCUAGCCGUUGGCAAGCUUGCUUGUCAGUGGCGCAGCUAACGCAUUAAGCAUCCCGCCUGGGGAGUACGGCCGCAAGGUUGAA
rnacentral:rRNA from 1 species